AAUCCCAUGGCCUUAAAAUAAGGAGAGUAUCCUGGAUGAUCCAGGUGGGCCUAAUGUAAUCACAAGAGUCCUUAAAUGGGGAAGAAGGGAGCGGAAGAGUCAGGAUCAGAUACAGCAGAGGGAGAAAGACUUGCCCGGCUGGUGCUGGCCUUGAAGGUAGAAGGGGCUGUGACCUAAGGAAUGUGGGCGGCCUCUAGGAGCUGGAAAAGGCAAGACGUGGAUUCUCUCCUGGAGCCUCCAGAAGGGCUCCCAGGCCUGCCGACACCUUGAUAUUAGCCCAGAGAGACCCUUUUCAGACUUCUGACCUCCAGAGUUGUGAGGUAAUAAAUCUGUGUUGGUUUAAGCCAUUAAGCUUGUGGUAACUUGUUACAGCACCAAUAGGAAACUAAUACACUACUCGGAAGAAAAGAACUUUGCUCAACCUCCUUUGCUUCCAAGAGUGGCUGUGACUGAGUUUUGGGGGUAGGUGGAGCGGUUGCAGGCCCAGCUCCCUUCCCUUCUUCAUUUUGUCCAUCCUGCUAUCUAGACGUGGAUGCUGUUUGGACCACAGGCUGAGGCCACGCCCUGCAGAAGCUGGAGGAACGAGCUGGAGGGAGCAGAGCCACAGAGGAGCCUUGGAAUUUCUGCCUUCACGUUUUGACUUGAGCUCUGAGACUUACAACUUACGAUGCAGACUGAACAAAUGUUUAUUGAGCGGCUUAAUAUGUGUGAAUCCUGUGCUAGACGUGUUCCCAUACAUAUAAUCUCUGAUUUAAUAUUUUCAAUGACCCUCGAUUUUCCACGCGAGGGGGCUGAGGCUUGGAGGUGUGAAGUGACUUGACUGAGCUGGUAUUUGUAAUAAGUGGUAAAAACUGCGAUUUCAGCCCAGGUGUUCUCAAUAAGGGGCAAAGCUGAGAUUUGUGACCCCGUGGCUGGAGCCAGGUGUAGCUUAUCGAUGGUGCUGGCCUGGGAUCCUUGAAGCGGACUUGAGAUGAAGCAACAAGAGGCAGGCCCUGAUGAAGACGCCUCCAGGUUAUAAAGGAAGGCCCUUUCUCUUCUGAAAAGUUGUCUGCAGCAAGGACUGGUCAUUAUGCCUAUCCUGGGCGCUAACUGGGGACCCCAGGCCACCUGUUGUGUGUAUCUUUGUGGAAAAUAAUUCUGCCCAAGGCAGGGUAACUCUGAGAACUGAGACACGUGAAUAGUUCCCAGCUGAUGGAACAGCUGAAGCAGUCAAGCCUCCCAGGCCUUGGUUACAGCAACACAGCGCAUAACACGCCAGCGUGACUCCAACUGCCCCGGGGAGUCAGCAGGUUGAUAUUUUCCACCCAACACUUUGACUGCCCAGGCGUCGAUCUUACUAGCACGAGAGUAACUGCUUCGGUUUACUUUAAGAAUUAAAGAAAGACAACUAUGAUCACACCUGAUCGCCCUCUGAAAACAGUGUCUGUUCUUUGAGCUAAAGCAUGGAGUACCUAAUUAAACUGCAGUCAAGAGAAGGUAUCUGGUUAGGUGAGAGGACUGGUGGAUGGAAAAUUAUGUCUCAGAUUCAUAGGAUGACAGAACUGGGAGGAGCCCUGGAGAUCCUCUGGGUCCUCAGCUUACAGAGGAGGAAACUGAGGCUCUGAGGUCACCCAAGGUCACAUAGCUGCCAACUGGUAAUUCUGGACUUCAAACUCAAGUCUUGUUCUUGGGCAGUUUUCUUUAAUCUACAACAUCCUGCUGUCUUGAAUACCAUUUUGGCCACAUCAUUCAUGCUGUGUGACCUUACACAAGUAUUUAACCUCUCUGAUCUUUGCUCAUCUGUAAAAUACAGGCAAUCAUAGUUACCUACCUCACGGAGUGAUGGUAAGGAGUAAGUGAGAUUGUAUCUGUAAAGUGCUUUCCAAAGUACCUGGCACACAUCAUUCCUCAGUAAAUUAGAGAUUUUAAAAAUUCUUAAACAAUAUUGUCAUUAUCCUUCUAUAUUCUAGACUAGCAUAAUCUCCCUAGGUGGGGGAAUUGGCUUAGGAGAAGAAAAGGGCACCUCCAUCUGCCUGCCCCCUGCAGUCCAGGAAUGUGGGUGCAUCAAUGAUGUUUGAGUUGGGGCUUUCCCGGAUGUUAGUUUCCAUGCUUUCCCAGACAUACAAUGUUCUUGUGAAACUUUGGGCUUUUCCUGCCACUGAGAAAAAGUCAUCUGAUAAAGCCACUCAUAUGAAGAUGCCAAGGAUAACGUUCUGCUCCUCUCGGAAUGCCUGGGAGAUGAUACUUAGUGCAGAGUAGAGCAUUUCCACUGGGGGAGUCUCAGGUAGCAGUCCCAAUGGAUGGGAGAGAAUUUGGACCUCGGGGCCUGGUCUUCCUGGAUCCUCUACAGUCAAACUAGAGGAGGUGAUCAUCUGCUUGGCCCGUAUCCAGGGCUCCCGUCAGCCACCUCUCCCACCAUCCUGAUCUGUGCCAUGCCCUCUCAUCCAGCUUCCUGCGGGGGAAGCUGGUUCUCGGUGGUGGGAGGGGAAGGACUGACCUCUCUCGCUGGAGUCAGGGCGCCUGGGAUGUGGGCUGCCCUGUAGGAGCUGAGGUGCAGCCUGAAUACUGGGAUGCGUUGUGUCUCCUAGACUCUGUCUGGGCUCGGGUCUUGAAAUUGGAAGUUUUCCACAAGUGAGGUUAGCCAAGUGAAAACCUAAUGCACUUUCUCUAAAGUAGAACUAUUAAGAAACCAAAGCAGAGAAAGUAUCAUUAUAAGCACAGUGAACAAUCCAUUUAAACAGCACAGAUAGGUUUCACUUUGUGUCAUUGUGCUAAUUUAAUUCAACAUUUGAAUAAAUACGCUUUCUUCGUGUAAGGCACAGCUCAGUGCCAGACAGAGACCCAGGAGCGCUCUCGGGUCCUUCUUAUUUAUCCCCCAUAUUCCCUCCAGCACUGAGUCCGUGAUGUCCUUCCAAAUAUCUCUCCAGUCCACCUACUUCCCUCCAUCAUCACUCUUGUCACCCCAUCCUCCUGCCAUUCCAUACUGCGGUGGCCUCCUGUAUGUCUUCACUGGGUCCCUCUUAUCCAGUUUUUUAUUGCAGUGUCUCUAAAACUUUGCACACAAUACAAUCCACAGAGCGCAGGCAGAAAAACAUUAGAAUUUUGGUUUUUAUUUAUUUUAAAUAAAAUUAGAAAUAAAGCUUUACUGAUACUCAAAGAAUGAAUUGACCCUGGCACCGCGUCCAAUCCUUGUGUCAGCCAGUCGCGUGUCAUGUUUGGUUCAAGAGGCCUCCCAGAGGCUCUGGAACAUGGCAAGGUUCAUGGGGUGUCCUCAUGGCUUCUGCCUUUUGAGUUUUUUUCCCAGCUUUAUUGAGGUAUAGUUGAUAAUUAAAAGUUUUAUUCAUUUAAGGUAUAUAAUUAAUGAUUUGAUAUACAUUUGCAUUGUGAAACAUUCAUCACAAUCAACCUAAUUAACAUGUCUGUCACCUCAGAUAGUUUCCUUUUUCUUUUUCUUUUUGUGAUGAAAACUACUCUCUUAGCAAAUUUCAAGUAUAAAAUACAAUAUCGUUAACUCUAGUUACAUUGUUGUUCGUUAGAUCUCCAGAACUUACCUACCUUGCAUAACAAAC
ensembl:lncRNA